UAGAACUGCAACCAUAAAACUCUGGUUAGACCCAUCUUUCCAUAUGGUCUAGAAAUUUACUUCCAAUUCUGUAACUGUUGAUGCUUAGGUUGGCUGGAUCCUCUCCAUUCUGGAUGAAUUACAGUUGAAUCCCCAGCCUCCUGUGGCUGUACUUCCACUCGGCACUGGGAAUGAUCUUGCUCGCACUCUCAACUGGGGAGGGGGGUAUACUGAUGAACCUGUUGCGAAAAUUCUCUGUCAUGUAGAAGAUGGUGCCAUCGUUCAAUUAGAUCGUUGGAAUCUUCAAGUGGAGAGAAACCCUGAUUUGCCGUCAAAUGAACUUGAAGAUGGAACACAUAAGCUCCCUCUCAAUGUUUUCAAUAAUUACUUCAGCCUCGGAUUUGAUGCCCAUGUCACGCUGGAAUUCCAUGAAUCUCGAGGUGAGAGAACUAAAGCUAUCUCUCUCAAAGUGUGCCUCUAGAAAAAAAGGAUUAGAUACGCUUAACAUGUGCCCUAAAGGUGGUCCCUAUGUCUUUAAUGCCUACGGAAUAGAUAGAAUUUUGCCAGCUGUGAAG